AGUUAUUUAAAAAAGAAAAUUCAAUAUCGCGGAAUUUGAUAUCCGAUGUCGAUGUUGCAUUGUGCUAUAACUUGUUGAGUAUCUUCUUGUCUUCCAGUAUUUUUCUUAACGCGUGAGGUAUUGGCAUUUAACCAUCACAUCAAAUAUUAAUUCGUGAUCAGCAUCAAAAUCGAAAAUGUCUCCCAAAAACGUUUGAAUGGCACGCAAAUGGAAUGUGUACUGUGCCUGUUGGGGUCUGUAACAGAUGUUCAGUUCGAGGAGUCCGAGGAGGAAAGCGAGAGAUGCGCUUUGAUGACAGAGAAUUUAGCCAAUGAAGAUGCUGUCCAUGUCUAAGCCAACACCAAUUUGUAUUGCCGUUGGCCACGCUUUCUUUGACUUCAACUUUGUCUGCUCCCAAAUUGGGCGAUUCGAAGCAGGCACUGGGCUUGCGUGAGAGGCUGCAGAGAUGAAACUCGCCUAGAUGGUUGAGAGAGGAUUCGUCAAUCGUCGCAAUGAGAAGGCAAUCGAAACCGUUUUCGUUUUCAUAGAGCUGAAUGAUGAGGAUUGAAAGCUUCCGCUGCACCACUCCAAUACACAGAUGGCCGAUAGGGCCAGGUACUGCAAUCUGAAACAUUCCAACGCAGAUGAUCGAUGAAGCCUGGCGGGUCGUUCUUUUGGGCAAACCAGACUAUAGUUUGUAUGACAUGAGCAACUCCUACCUACUAUCAGGCUAACAUACUCCUCAACGAAAGGGACUAUUUCCAAUCUAAGAAUGAGAGCACAUCCGAUUAGGUUAAGAUUAGCAUAACAAAUAUUUCCACAAAUUUUGUAAACAGGUAAUGAACCAAGUUUUGUAAA